UAUAUAUGUAUAUAUAUAUAUAUAAAAUAUUUGCAACAAGCCAAGCCAAAAUUUAGUCUUAUCAGAUUUCAAGAAAUAGACCAAACUGUUAAAAUAACGCAGGUAUCUGUGUAAGUAAAAACUACCUCAUGCAAAGGACACUAAUGGAAGUCUAGUACAUCAUAAUUAUGCCUUUAUGAUGGCAUGAGGAACCUAGUCAUUCCUAAACCGUGCUGAAUGUUGUCUGUGUUGAUCAUAUGCACUCAAAAGAGCAGGGUAAAUUUUAUAUUUAAAGCAGUGCUUGGGAAUUGGGGCCCUUUGGUUUUGUACAAUGGCAACUCACAGUUAAACAGUCUGAUUCAGAUAGGUUGAUUUUGGAAUGAGGAAUGAUAUGUAUUUCUGAAUGCACUUAAUUUGUAUGAUUUAAAAGCAUAAUUAGAAAGGUUAGUCAGUUGAUUACUGAAAGUGUAGUAUAGGUGUCAGAAGCUAUACAUUUAUAUACUUAAUAUUUUCCAAGACAAACUUCUAUGAGGAUUUUAUUGUUCUUUUGUAAGUUAAACAAAUUAUUUGUUCAACUUAAAUUAUAAAAGAAAAAGAAAGGAAGGAAGGAAGGAAGGAAGGAAGGAAGGAAGGAACAUUUUUCUUCAUGGACUAUUUUCCCUCAAAUCCUUCUGAAUUUUUUACUUCCUGCCAGCUGUAACAUCAGGACUAGAUUUCUUAAUAAAGUAGCUGUUGCUCGAAAGUCUGUGGUCACUAGCAUGUAGGUUUUGUUCACUGGAAUCUUAGAAAUUGAUUUUCAGUAGACAGAAAAAAUUCACAGGGAGAAAAAAGUGGCUUUGGCUCACAGCUUAAUUUCUCCUUUGCAUUAUAUAUAUUUUCCCAUUUAAAAUUCACUUUAAAACUAUUUCUUAAGUAAAUAAAAUGGUAAGAAUAUUUAAAACUUAUUUUAAUAUUCAUUUUAAUUACAGUUACUCAUUUAUUCAUCUGAUUAAGUCCUAAGAUUGGCUAUACUUAAUUAGGAAAAUCAUAGGAAAAUACAGUCAGUGCCCACUUAAGUUUCAAUUUAGAUGUUGACUAUCCACCUAUCUCACAAAGUCAGAAUAAAGAAUGGAAUAAAUAGAAGAUGACAAAGAAAGGUAUUGCUGUUUGGGGGUGUUAAUUUUUUGGAAUUUAUGUACUUCUUUUCUUGUGAUCUGAAUUUAAAACUUCUGAUGUAUACCAAAGAAUAUAAUUAGAAAUAGGAACUGAAAAAUAAAAGGUUGCAGAAGGGAAGGCAGCUUCCAGAUGGGGCACUUAUCUAGCAUGCACAUGGCCCCUUAUUAUAUCCCCAGGAUCAGCAAUACCAUGUAUACAAUGUUUUAUUCUCUUUUUAAAGAGAAAAAAUAAUACUUAUACAUCAGUAGAGAACACAAAGAAAAGUAUUCUAUGGAUGUUGAGUAUAAUAUUUAUAUAGUGACAUAAAUGUGUAAGACAACACUUCAAUUGGAGAAAACUAAAAUUUUGGGUGUGUUUCCUAAGAUUCCAUUUUUGCCUUUUUCUUUAGUACACUUAAGAUAUUUGAAUUAUUUUCUUUUACAAACCAAAUAGUUUGCUAGACAUCAUCUAAUUUUCCCUGAAAAAAUAAAUGGCUUUGGAUUGAAAUUUAUAAAUGAUUGAUCCCUUGUUAUAGCAAUAUAAAACAUCAAAAUUAGGUCUUUUUUAUUUCGGACCAUGGCAAUUCAUUAAUUUUGGCAAAGAAUUCAAAACUGCUUAAAAAGUUACUUGAAAAUGGGUUAAAAAUGCUUCUUUGGUAAGGUAGAUAGAAAUACUAUGUUGAAUGUUGUCAGACACUCCACGAUCUAGAAAAUCUAUAACAGGACUAUUUGCCUCAUGUAACAGUAUCCAAGAUGUUUGGCAGUGUAUCCCUUACACCUAAAGGUCAGGUGAAAUCAAUUUGCAUUUACUGUACCUAUCAUUCUAAAAGCAGAUUUCAGAAAAAGCUUUUCUAUCCCAAUCUUUACCAGUGUGAUUCUCAAAUCUAAUGAAAAAGGUGAAGAUUUAUCUAGAAGAGGAUUUUCUAAAUGAAGACUUGCAGGGACAAUGGGCAGGAGCUUUAAAAUGUUGAUUCUGGUACUUCCCAGGAGACAACAAAGAUGUUUGCAUAGAUCCACUUUCUCUUUCUUGUAUGACAAAACCUUUAGCAGCCAAGGUCCAAAGUCAAAGUCACUUCUCUUCCCAGGAUCUCUACUAAGCUCUAACCUUUUCCUGCUCACCUUACAGCUCUACAGCUCUACAGUGUUUAGUCCUGUGAAUGUGAAAAGAAAAGCCUCAGUCCAAAGAAUAAAAUACCAUCGCCAUAUACUUUAUAAGAGCUAUGAAGAAAUAGAGCCCAAAAAGACAGAUUAAAGGGAAAUUUAAAAGAAUGGAAGUACUGGAGUUAAAAAGGAAUGAGGAUCAUAGAGGAGUUUAAAAUGCCAACAUAUUUAAAGGCCUGAUUAAUUUGCCCUCCAUAGGCUCUAUACAUAUAAUGCAUUCAUUAGACUUUUAUUUAGAAAUGAUGCCAGACCGAUCAUAUUUAAGACAUAACUGAAGCUGAUACAAGUGAUAUUUGAAUUCCUACCUGGCUUCUCAUUAGCAUAAAGGCUAUGCGACAGAUUAAUUUGUCAUAUAGCAAAUACUGAUUGAUUGAAGACAUAGUACUAAAUUUUCCAAACAGAAGCAAAUUCUGCUUUGGUGGAUAUGUAUGAUGAAUAUUUUCUGUCAUUGUUCCUUUAAAUAGUCAUUCUAAUUAAGAGUUUUAUUAAGUUCCUUGUUGGUUUUCUAAAGCUUCGACUUGCUGAAUUUUAUUUGGUGGACCUAUCAUUCAGUAUCACAGUUUGUUGAAUAUAAAUACUGUGAUUUAAAAAAUCUGCAAUAGCAUAUCCAUAUCAAUACUUUCAGCUAUCUCUUAGGUUAACAAAGAUGGACUACAGACAUAUUUUUUAUCUAAGCAAAUAAUGUUUUUCCUUUGUACUCCCUAUAGGAGGAGCUUUUUCUUACUCUUUCCUUUCCUCCUGCUGAAGUCAGCUAAAUAUUUCAUAUACACUCAAAAAGAAGAAAAAAUUUAUGGCCAAAUAAUAAUCUGUAUUUCACAGACAGAAAAAAAUUGUUUUAAGGAUCAAAAGUAAAAGCAAGAGGUAACCAUUAUUUCAGGUCAUGAAAUCACGUAAAUGAAUUUUGCAAGUUAUGAUGACACACCUGAAACUAAUAAAAAAGGAUAGGCCUGUUAAUUAUGACUGCUAUCUCAUCAUUAUCUAUACACAAACGUUCAAGAAUUUUUUUCAAAUUUCCACAGAAUUGCUUUAGACGACUCUAAAUGUACAUUAUCUAGACCACUAAGGUACCUUACUCAAUGCCUUAAUUUGAAGGAGCCUGAACACACUACUUUUGACUUUUAUUAUCAAUCUCUGAAAUAGUUUAAUAUUUUAAACAUGAUAAUAUUGUUCAAUCAGGGAAAUAUGAUUCAAUGCCACAAUCUUAAGUUCUUAUUUAUAACAACUCUAUAACCCAUUUUGGUAACAUAGAAAACUUGGAAAAAUAGCAAUCACUGAAAUAUAAUUAAUUCAUGAUUAAAUGCUAUCACCACAGGAUAAAAUCUGAGGGACAAAGCCACUGAAUUAGUUUCUCGUUGCUAAAGCUCUUGAUGCAUUUUAUGAAACACUUUUUCAAACCGUAACAACUUUGAAGUUUAUAUAGAAGUAAACUGACAUGGUAUAAUUGUUUUUUCUAAGAAUAAUGAUUCUAGUUAAAAAUAGGAGGAAACUUACUUGCUAAAAUUUUUGCCCUAAAUGAAUUCUGCAUGAAAUACUAAGUUACAAGUAAGUGAGAAAUCUCUGAGUGAUAAUGGCAGAAUAUUCAGCUGCUUUCAAUGUUACAAGGCAAAGAGAACACCUUCAUUUCUCCUCUGAACACUCCCAAUGGUCUUGGUUUCUUAUCUCUAGUUCUCUGGAGCUUCCUACAAGAGAAGGGCAGUCUUGGAUAUACCUAGGCCAUUUACCUUUCAGAAGCUGAGUACUUGUUUUGUUAGUUGAGUGCAAAUUUAGAAAAUAUGAAGUAUGGAAUAUGAAAUAUCCUCAAAAUGUUAUGGCACAAGCUUUUAGGACAUAAAAUGUUUUCCAGACUUUGUGAUUCAAGUUCACAAUAAGAAAUACUUAUCAUUCCUAGAUCAGGGGUGGGAGAAGUGCACAGUGCAAAACCAUUUUGUUAGUGAGUGUCAGUUCGGCUAAAUAUGAGUAAAGAGAGAUGAAUAUGUUGUAUUUAAUUUCCUCUGUACACUAUCUGUCCUGUGCUAAUUUCAGUAGGCUUUUCUGUAACAUAAGGCAGAAUCAAUGUUUGGCCCUCUUUGUUUUGUAAAUCCAGAUUUUCUGACAUUUCUAUUUAUUUUUCAUCACUAUAACCCAGACUCUUUCCAUCUACCACCUUCAGAGACUUGCUAUUUAUAGCUCUGUGAGCUUCUAGUUAAAGUUUUACUGAGCCUCACAGCUGCUGCUAUGCUGACACGAUCUCAUCAGACGAUUGGAAAUGGAUGGUUUGGAAUUUUUUCUCAAAUAAAACAGAACAAAAAGACCAAACCAACAAAACAAGCAAAAACCACAAAAGUAACACAUAGCAAAAAGGUUAUCUGCUAUUAAUGAAAUCAAAUGUGUAUACAAUAGAAGCUGCAUGUUCUUUAACACUUUCUUCUAACAAUCUCUAUUCCUUUACAAAUCUCUUUGCUCUUUUAUCUUAAAUCUUUCAAGAGCUUAUAAAGCCACCAAAGAAUCACAUAUAUUUUUAUCAAAGUUCACUUUCUCAAUCAGGUCUUCCAACUUACAAUUGACUUCCAUUUAUUCAUCUUUGUUGCUUGCUGUAACAAACUACAAAGAUCUAAAGAUUUGAGCAAGUUUACCAAUAGUACACAAAUGCCUUUGAGAGCAAUAGAAAUUAAAGUAAUACGAAUAGUUGUUAAUUAUAUAUCAGACAUACACUGAUGUAAACACACUAGUUACAUGUUUACAAAUUAGUGAGUUUUGAGAUGGAUUUGUGUAUCAUUUGAUCAGUUUUUAAAUACAAUUGGUCCCUUGCUGAUCAUUUUGCUGUGAAACAACAAAUAACUUUAAAAAUUUCAAACCAUCUGUAUUAUUGCUACUGGAAACCAUGUCUCUAUUCCUCUAAAGGCUGGGUAAAAUGCACAGAUGUGCAUUAUAUAUGGCAUCAUUACCAUGGCUUAAAUUAUUGCUUAAACGAUUGUUGUAAAGUAUUGCUAAGAAAUUGCUUUGAGAGAAAUGUGUAAUAUACACAGUGAGAUGAGGCAUUAAGUAUUAGCUUUGUGUCUCUUUAUAACAUAGAUCAUAGUAGCAUUCUGAAGGUAGGUUAUCAUUUUAAUACUUACUUAUGUCCAAAAUGUACUUUGUUAGCUCAGUGGUGAGGGUCAGGAAGUGUAUUGAACAGCUUCGUCAGUAACUAAGAAAAUAGCUAAUAUGCCUAAUAAUCUUAUAGGGAGCAGUAUUCAUUCCUCAUGCUUAUUAGUGUUGACUUCUAUCACUAAUAAAUUUGAAGAUUCAUGUUGUGAAAGCAUACUAAGCAUUUGAAACCAAAAAUAAAAUUAAAAUUUAUGAUGGAAACAAUGAUAAGAAGCACCGAGUGCUUAAAUAUUAAAAAUAACUAUAAAUGAAAUAAUAUAUUGCUAUCUUAGUCACCUUGUAUUACCUUCAACUCAUUGAGAUUGUAAGCGUGUUCUUCCAUAAUCUCCACAUUGGGCUAUAUGCAUUAUAACCCAGAGUGGUUUCCUAAACUCGGAUUCCUGGGCCCUACCUCUGUAACCUACUGAAGGAAAUUUCACAUUCCUAAAACUUCUUAGGUAAUUAUUAUGGAGUCAGUCAGCUACUUUUAGACAGUCAAAGUGAAUCAUUAAACUAGGAUAACAGGGGAGAGCAAUGAAGUACUUGACUGAAAAUAUGAUACGGAUAUACAACAUAUCAGAAGAAAGACAAACUACUCCCACACAUGCUCAAGUCCUUCUCAAAUGAUCUUCUUUUAGAAAAAAUGACCAUAUGCAUAUGUGCACAUAACACAUGAGAUUUAUUACUUUUUAAGACAGACAGGGUGUGGUCAAUAGUGAUUUUUCUUGUCCUAUAAAUAUAUCAAUGUCUUUUUUACAAUGAAAGGAAAGGGAGAACAAAAAAGAAACAAAGAAAGCAGAACACUAGCAGUUAGUUUUUUGAAUCAAGUGUGAUGAAGAACUAUUGCACACUAUUUCAGUAGUCUCUAACAAGAUUAUGUUAAUCUACAUGGAGUAUCAGAAGCUGUUCUUCAUUUGCCACUAAGGGCAUUUUACUUACUUAGCAUGAAUUUUGUUUCAUCAUUUAACAUGCUUAUAUGUGUAUUAAGUCUGCUUCAGAAGUAAAGAAGAAAUGAUGUUUUAUGGAAGCUGGGCUUGAGGAGUUGAGAUAAUAUCUGAUGAGUACACAGAAUAAGAAUGGGUGAGGAAGGGAUAACCAAUGUUUUGCUUAAAAGACAAUAAUACAGAAACCUUUGCCAAUGUUUAUGUUCUAUGCUAUGUAUGUACAACACCCAUUUCAGCCAGUGGCAAACUGAAUAAACUGGCAAUGGUGAUGGCCAAAAUCUCCAAGUCCUCUUAACACUGCACACCUUUAGACCUACUUUUCAGUCCGCAGCAACACCACUCUGUCUUUGCAUUUUGUUUCUGUUUACUUUUACUUUAUUGGUAGAACUCUUUAGAGAAAUUUACAAGUUUCAAAGGAUUGCUGCAUUUGAGAAUUAGAUUUUAACUCAUUUAAUGUCGUGUUUUUCUUUCCUUAAAAAGAAAUAAACUUUCACACUUCUGAAUAUUUUUCUCUAUCCUCAUGUCAUGGUCAUUAUACAAGAGGGAAAAAUUAGAGAAUGUAAGAACUAUUAUGUGCUAGAUCCAUUGACUAAUUCUCCAGUUUUAUAUAUCAGGUUUGGUGUCAAAAACAUGGGUCACUGCUCACUGGGUUCUACAUAAAACAAGGUAUUGAAAGAGAAACCACAACUAGUCUAAUAAACAAUAGAGAAUAUGCAUACAGAGGUAGAUAAUACAAAAUUAGGUCACAGUUUACCUUCACAAGAUGACAAAGCUAAAUUCCAGCCAUGUUUCUGAGACAUCUUACUCUUUCAUUGUGGCCACCAUUGCCUAUUUAUUCAAGUCCAGAAGAUGCUCCAUACAAAUAUAUGAAGAUUAUAACUAUGCUAUAUUAUUGAGUUACUUGCUGAUGACAAUGUUCUCCUCAUCAAAUGACCUUUUAGUCAGUGGUGUUAGUUGAUUAGUUGCAAAGUUCCUUUGAUAUCUUAACUACAUGACCCAACAUUCAAAAAGGUAAGUUAUCCAUGUCAUGUUACAUUUGAAAUCAUUCAUUUUGCAGUGAGCUAAACAUAUUACACCAAUUUGUAAGCACUUGGUUUCUGUGGAUACUUUCCUAAAUUUCUUUCAACCUGACACACUAAAAGGUAUACCGUUCCUAAGUGGUAUUAAGUAUAUGAAAGUAAUAGACAUUAGUCAACAGAUUCAAAGUACUGUGACAUAUUUGCAGCCAAGAUUCUUAAGGUUCAACAUAUGAACUCUGCUGUGUAGGAAAAUGGAAGCAUAAAUUCCAUAGCUUCUCCCUUCUACGACUGCAGACAAAGGAACAUUCUUUUCAGAGUAUCUUACAAGCACAUAUAGCAAUAAAGAGCCAUGGUCAUUUGAAACAAUCUGGAAAACUCAUAAGACAUUAGACUGCUUCCUCAGACUGUCUUCAGAAAUAUAGAUUAUAGUGUUUGAAGAAUAUAGCUUCCUGUCAGUGAUAUAUAAUAAUUUGUGCAAUAUUCUUAAAAUGACAUUUCUGACAGUGGAAUGGCUAUUUCCUCUCUAUGUAAAAUAAUAUAACCAAAUACAGAGUUUGUGAUGGUUUUAAAAUCUAAGAAUAAAUGAGCAAAUUCUUCUCUUGAGCUUUAUAAACAAUAACUGAAUAAUAGAGUGGAUUUUAAAAGAUAACACACACACACAUACACAUACACACACACACACACAUGAGUGUGUGGGUAUGGGUGUACACAUUUUCAUGUAUUUUUUUAAAUAUAGAGAGAUAUAUUGAAUAGCUCCUGGAAUUUAUUUUCAAUGUUAUGGUUAUAGAACAUGUUUAUUGAGUAUGAGAUAAUUGAAUAUAUCAUAAUAAACAUAGUUACUGCACAUAAUAGAUAUAAAUGACCGUUGUAAACAUGGUUGUCUUUCUGUGUUCCUCAAUAGUAAAGAGACUGUGAGCUUUCUUCAGGCAUUUUUUUCAUGUGUGUAUUUUGAAUAUGACCAUGACUACUAUGUAUUUCCAGCUUAUUCUAUCUACAUUCACUACACUUCCUAUUCAUUUCUACUGUGGAGGAGGUUAGCUAAUACUCAAGUUUUUUGAAAGCUAUUUAUUACUCUGUUGAGGGUACACCACCCUUGGGCUACAAAGCUGCCUAGGAAUACCCAGGCUCUCUCUCUGCGUGUUGUAAAAAACAGAGAACUAUGCCUAGCAACAAAGGGGCCAGGUAACAGCUUAGAUCCUGGGGAAAAAAUAUAUAUGUAUAUAUUGCCUUCUCCAUGUAAAGAAUGUUGAGCUAGUAUUUCAAUUACACCAGGAUGAGAACACAACUAAAAUUAGAAAGAGAUCAUAAUUAUAACAAGUACUUUGCCUAAUUUAAAUGUUUCUAAGUCAUAUACUUAGAGAGCAAUAAUUAACCAUCACAGAUGACUUUGAGAAUUAAUAUAUAUCUUAUGUAAGUUGUGUCAUAUAGUGUUUAAUGCAGGCCCAAAUCCCUGAAAAAGAAAAAUACAUCGUGUCCACUAAACAUAGCUACCAGUGGGAAUACAUACUGGAAAAUACAAACUAUGAAAAUUCUGACCACACUGUAUACUCCUAAUUUCAGUGUGAGCCUGUAAAGGUUGUUUUCAUGCAGUGUUGGCUAUUGGUAGCAGUCCCUUAAUUUAGUAAAUCAUGCAGUGAAUGCUACCUGUGUAUAUAUGGUGUUAGUGGAAUCUGCAGGUUAGGCCUAUACCAGUGCUCAUGAGGUGUUUCGCUACAUUAGAAGCUGUUUCAACAAAACUUCUGAAGACUAUACUUUUUUAGAAUCCCAAAGGCAUGAAAUCCAGAGCUUUUCUUUGCUUUGUUGUCAGGCAAUAAGAAACAACAUUCUUAGCAAAAUUUCCUGACAGACAUUAGUCAGUAACACUGGUAUAAGAAUUUGCUUCAGAGUGUGGCAGUAACUUCUUUGAAGGCAUAGGUCAGAGACAGGAAGGGCAGUUUCUACUACAUCAUUUUGUGAGACGAUAUUGAUUACACAGUCACUUAGGGUUGCAAACACCACCUACAUUCCUAAGUUUUAAUGUGAAAAGGACCCAGUUUUACAAAUGUUUUGUUAAAAAAAUGUGUUUUGUUUUAACUGGUAUGCGUUUGAAGAUUUAAAAAAAAAAUCUUUCCAGCAUCUUAGUUAAAGGUUUACCUUCUACUAGAAAAUUCCAUUUCUUCUGUAUCCAAACUACAUUAAGCAAAUCUAAAAAGUAUAUUUACUAAGCAUACAUGUGUUCCUCAACAGCUGGAUAUCCUUAGUUAUACAUACUCUCAGCUCAAGCACUAAUCUCACUAAAUAAGUGAAACUAUAUUAGAUUAGUAGGUUAACAUCACACAAUAUACCAACAAAGCACACUCUAAAUAUCUAAAUGUGAAAUGCAAUUAUCUAGAAGAAGAUAUAGACAUAUAAAAAUAGGUAAUAUCCCUAAAAUAUUUUGCUGAGUUAUAGUAGUUGUUCCUGCUUGGAAGUUUAACCAUACUGCCAUGAUAUCAU
ensembl:lncRNA